rnacentral:rRNA from 1 species
ACGCUGGCGGCAGGCCUAACACAUGCAAGUCGAGCGGUAGAGAGAAGCUUGCUUCUCUUGAGAGCGGCGGACGGGUGAGUAAUGCCUAGGAAUCUGCCUGGUAGUGGGGGAUAACGUUCGGAAACGGACGCUAAUACCGCAUACGUCCUACGGGAGAAAGCAGGGGACCUUCGGGCCUUGCGCUAUCAGAUGAGCCUAGGUCGGAUUAGCUAGUUGGUGGGGUAAUGGCUCACCAAGGCGACGAUCCGUAACUGGUCUGAGAGGAUGAUCAGUCACACUGGAACUGAGACACGGUCCAGACUCCUACGGGAGGCAGCAGUGGGGAAUAUUGGACAAUGGGCGAAAGCCUGAUCCAGCCAUGCCGCGUGUGUGAAGAAGGUCUUCGGAUUGUAAAGCACUUUAAGUUGGGAGGAAGGGUUGUAGAUUAAUACUCUGCAAUUUUGACGUUACCGACAGAAUAAGCACCGGCUAACUCUGUGCCAGCAGCCGCGGUAAUACAGAGGGUGCAAGCGUUAAUCGGAAUUACUGGGCGUAAAGCGCGCGUAGGUGGUUUGUUAAGUUGGAUGUGAAAUCCCCGGGCUCAACCUGGGAACUCCAUUCAAAACUGACUGACUAGAGUAUGGUAGAGGGUGGUGGAAUUUCCUGUGUAGCGGUGAAGUGCGUAGAUAUAGGAAGGAACACCAGUGGCGAAGGCGACCACCUGGACUAAUACUCACACUGAGGUGCGAAAGCGUGGGGAGCAAAC